rnacentral:rRNA from 1 species
GACGAACGCUGGCGGCGCGCUUAAUACAUGCAAGUCGAGCGACGAAAGGGCCUUCGGGCCCCUGAAAGCGGCGAACGGGUGAGUAACACGUGGGUAACCCACCCUCGGUUUCGGGAUAGCCCGGGGAAACCCGGAUUAAUACCGAAUGGCCUCCAGGGUCUCCGGGUCCUGGAGAAAAGGUAGCUUCGGCCUCCGACCGAGGACGGGCCCGCGGCCGAUUAGCUUGUUGGCGGGGUAAUGGCCCACCAAGGCGA